AACGAACGCUGGCGGCGUGCUUAACACAUGCAAGUCGAACGUGAAAUCCGCUUUCGGGCGGAGAGUAAAGUGGCGCACGGGUGAGUAACGCGUGGAUAAUCUACCCCGAGGCCCGGGAUAACUCGCCGAAAGGCGGGCUAAUACCGGAUAAUGUCCCACUACCUAAGUAGUGUGACCAUAGGAGGCUCUGCUUCCGCCACAGGAUGAGUCCGCGUACCAUUAGCUAGUUGGUAGGGUAAUGGCCUACCAAGGCUACGAUGGUUAGCUGGUCUGAGAGGACGAUCAGCCACACUGGAACUGAGACACGGUCCAGACUCCUACGGGAGGCAGCAGUGGGGAAUAUUGCGCAAUGGGGGAAACCCUGACGCAGCGACGCCGCGUGAGCGAUGAAGGCCUUCGGGUCGUAAAGCUCUGUCAGGUGGGAAGAACCCUCCGUCGACUAAUAAUUGACGGAGCUGACGUACCACCAGAGAAGCACCGCUAAC
rnacentral:rRNA from 1 species